rnacentral:lncRNA from 10 species
GCAACAGUCAGAGGACAACAGAACUUCACAAAUAGUGGAAGUGAAGGAAAGGACCUUUGGGCAGCAAGGAAGGAAGGAAGGAAGGAAGGAAAGAAGGAAGAAAGGAAGGAGAAAAAUAAAUUAUCCAAGAACUGAAACUCACCAGAUCACCACAUCCUUUCAACUUAUGGCCCAAGAAAAUAGAAGUCAGAAUCAAAAUCCAGCAUGCAGAACUUGUUGUAAAACAUGGCAGUACAGACAGUAUAUCUCUCCACAUUGUGUCUGAAUUUGGAGGAGGGAACAUGAGUAAGACGUGCCUUUCACCUUCUUCCACGAUUAUGAGGACUGCCAGCCACUUGGAACUACUCUCAAAAAGUACCAGAAGUAACUCAUGAGUAAGUUACUCAACCAGGAAAAGCACAUAGAACAGCAUAGAGAUUGCCUUAAGGAAGAAGCUACUGCUGCUGCCAUUCUGCAUUGGGAAGCUCAUCAAACACAUCAUGGGUAUUAUAGCGCAGGAAAACAGCCUGCCUGCUGCAUGGCACGAGUGACUACGCCACCAUCUUGAGGAAAACCAUCACAAUGCCCAAUGUUUGACUCCUGCGUAUCACGGUGUUCUGAAGCAAGGUCUUUUUCCCCGGAAGUAACAAGUCACAGCAUGGAAGUCUGAGAUGUAACUAGCUGCACUUGUCUUUACCCUAAAUGCUUGCUAUCUAAAGGACAUUCUCUAGAGGAGAUUGCGAAAUCCACCGUAUCACAACCACCCAAGAUAUCAUUUCUGUUCAUAAGUCCCUAUUAAAUAUGUAUUUCUGAGAAACUGGCUUUUUUUCAGCAUCUUUCUUCAGCAUCUCAGCUCCCUCAGCCUUUGGGGGUAGAUUUGAAUAUACCCAUCAUUUUUAUGGUCUUAGCAUGGUCUCAAUGUACUUCAACUGGCCUGUUAUAAAU